AGUUUGAUCCUGGCUCAGGAUGAACGCUAGCUACAGGCUUAAUACAUGCAAGUCGAGGGGAAACGAUAUUGGAAGCUUGCUUCCGAUAGGCGUCGACCGGCGCACGGGUGAGUAACGCGUAUCCAACCUGCCCACCACUUGGGGAUAACCUUGCGAAAGUAAGACUAAUACCCAAUGAUAUCUCUAGAAGACAUCUGAAAGGGAUUAAAGAUUCAUCGGUGAUGGAUGGGGAUGCGUCUGAUUAGCUUGUUGGCGGGGUAACGGCCCACCAAGGCUACGAUCAGUAGGGGUUCUGAGAGGAAGGUCCCCCACAUUGGAACUGAGACACGGUCCAAACUCCUACGGGAGGCAGCAGUGAGGAAUAUUGGUCAAUGGGCGAGAGCCUGAACCAGCCAAGUAGCGUGCAGGAUGACGGCCCUAUGGGUUGUAAACUGCUUUUAUAAGGGAAUAAAGUGGGAGUCGUGACUCUUUUUGCAUGUACCUUAUGAAUAAGGACCGGCUAAUUCCGUGCCAGCAGCCGCGGUAAUACGGAAGGUCCGGGCGUUAUCCGGAUUUAUUGGGUUUAAAGGGAGCGUAGGCCGGAGAUUAAGCGUGUUGUGAAAUGUAGAUGCUCAACAUCUGCACUGCAGCGCGAACUGGUUUCCUUGAGUACGCACAAAGUGGGCGGAAUUCGUGGUGUAGCGGUGAAAUGCUUAGAUAUCACGAAGAACUCCGAUUGCGAAGGCAGCUCACUGGAGCGCAACUGACGCUGAAGCUCGAAAGUGCGGGUAUCGAACAGGAUUAGAUACCCUGGUAGUCCGCACGGUAAACGAUGGAUGCCCGCUGUUGGUCUGAAUAGGUCAGCGGCCAAGCGAAAGCAUUAAGCAUCCCACCUGGGGAGUACGCCGGCAACGGUGAAACUCAAAGGAAUUGACGGAAGGG
rnacentral:rRNA from 1 species